rnacentral:rRNA from 1 species
UACGUAGGGGGCGAGCGUUGUCCGAAGUUACUGGGCGUAAAGCGUGCGCAGGCGGUUUUGUAAGUCUGUCGUGAAAUCCCCGGGCUCAACCUGGGAAUUGCGAUGGAGACUGCAAGGCUAGAAUCUGGCAGAGGGGGGUAGAAUUCCACGUGUAGCAGUGAAAUGCGUAGAGAUGUGGAGGAACGCCGAUGGCGAAGGCAGCCCCCUGGGUCAAGAUUGACGCUCAUGCACGAAAGUGUGGGGAGCGAACAGG